rnacentral:rRNA from 1 species
UACCAGCUCUCCGAGUGGUAGGGAUGAUUAUUGGGCUUAAAGCGUCCGUAGCCGGCUUAGCAAGUUUCCUGUUAAACUCUGCGACUUAAUCGUUGAAUCGCGGGAAAUACUACUAGGCUAGGAGGCGGGAGAGGUCAACGGUACUUCUGGGGUAGGGUGAAAUCCUAUAAUCCCGGGAGGACCACCAGUGGCGAAGGCUGUUGACUAGAACGCGCUCGACGGUGAGGGACGAAAGCUGGGGGAGCGAACCGGAUUAGAUACCCGGGUAGUCCCAGCUGUAAACGAUGCGGGCUAGGUGUUGGGAUGGCUACGUGCCAUUUCAGUGCCGCAGGGAAGCCAUUAAGCCCGCCGCCUGGGGAGUACGGCCGCAAGGCUGAAACUUAAAGGAAUUGGCGGGGGAGCACCACAAGGCGUGAAGCUUGCGGUUC